rnacentral:rRNA from 1 species
UGUGACUGCGUACCUUUUGUAUAAUGGGUCAGCGACUUAUAUUCUGUAGCAAGGUUAACCGAAUAGGGGAGCCGGAGGGAAACCGAGUCUUAAUUGGGCGUUAAGUUGCAGGGUAUAGACCCGAAACCCGGUGAUCUAGCCAUGGGCAGGUUGAAGGUUGGGUAACACUAACUGGAGGACCGAACCGACUAAUGUUGAAAAAUUAGCGGAUGACCUGUGGCUGGGGGUGAAAGGCCAAUCAAACCGGGAGAUAGCUGGUUCUCCCCGAAAGCUAUUUAGGUAGCGCCUCGUGAAUUCAUCUCCGGGGGUAGAGCACUGUUUCGGCUAGGGGGCCAUCCCGGCUUACCAACCCGAUGCAAACUGCGAAUACCGGAGAAUGUUAUCACGGGAGACACACGGCGGGUGCUAACGUCCGUCGUGAAGAGGGAAACAACCCAGACCGCCAGCUAAGGUCCCAAAGUCAUGGUUAAGUGGGAAACGAUGUGGGAAGGCCCAGACAGCCAGGAUGUUGGCUUAGAAGCAGCCAUCAUUUAAAGAAAGCGUAAUAGCUCACUGGUCGAGUCGGCCUGCGCGGAAGAUGUAACGGGGCUAAACCAUGCACCGAAGCUGCGGCAGCGACACUGUGUGUUGUUGGGUAGGGGAGCGUUCUGUAAGCCUGUGAAGGUGUGUCGUGAGGCAUGCUGGAGGUAUCAGAAGUGCGAAUGCUGACAUAAGUAACGAUAAAGCGGGUGAAAAGCCCGCUCGCCGGAAGACCAAGGGUUCCUGUCCAACGUUAAUCGGGGCAGGGUGAGUCGACCCCUAAGGCGAGGCCGAAAGGCGUAGUCGAUGGGAAACGGGUUAAUAUUCCCGUACUUGGUGUUACUGCGAAGGGGGGACGGAGAAGGCUAUGUUGGCCGGGCGACGGUUGUCCCGGUUUAAGCGUGUAGGUGUGUGUUCCAGGUAAAUCCGGUUCACUUUAACACUGAGGCGUGACGACGAGGCACUACGGUGCUGAAGCAACAAAUGCCCUGCUUCCAGGAAAAGCCUCUAAGCAUCAGGUAACAUCAAAUCGUACCCCAAACCGACACAGGUGGUCAGGUAGAGAAUACCAAGGCGCUUGAGAGAACUCGGGUGAAGGAACUAGGCAAAAUGGUGCCGUAACUUCGGGAGAAGGCACGCUGACACGUAGGUGAAGUGAUUUACUCAUGGAGCUGAAGUCAGUCGAAGAUACCAGCUGGCUGCAACUGUUUAUUAAAAACACAGCACUGUGCAAACACGAAAGUGGACGUAUACGGUGUGACGCCUGCCCGGUGCCGGAAGGUUAAUUGAUGGGGUCAGCGCAAGCGAAGCUCCUGAUCGAAGCCCCGGUAAACGGCGGCCGUAACUAUAACGGUCCUAAGGUAGCGAAAUUCCUUGUCGGGUAAGUUCCGACCUGCACGAAUGGCGUAAUGAUGGCCAGGCUGUCUCCACCCGAGACUCAGUGAAAUUGAACUCGCUGUGAAGAUGCAGUGUACCCGCGGCAAGACGGAAAGACCCCGUGAACCUUUACUAUAGCUUGACACUGAACAUUGAGCCUUGAUGUGUAGGAUAGGUGGGAGGCUUUGAAGUGUGGACGCCAGUCUGCAUGGAGCCGACCUUGAAAUACCACCCUUUAAUGUUUGAUGUUCUAACGUGGACCCGUUACCCGGGUUGCGGACAGUGUCUGGUGGGUAGUUUGACUGGGGCGGUCUCCUCCUAAAGAGUAACGGAGGAGCACGAAGGUUGGCUAAUCCUGGUCGGACAUCAGGAGGUUAGUGCAAUGGCAUAAGCCAGCUUGACUGCGAGCGUGACGGCGCGAGCAGGUGCGAAAGCAGGUCAUAGUGAUCCGGUGGUUCUGAAUGGAAGGGCCAUCGCUCAACGGAUAAAAGGUACUCCGGGGAUAACAGGCUGAUACCGCCCAAGAGUUCAUAUCGACGGCGGUGUUUGGCACCUCGAUGUCGGCUCAUCACAUCCUGGGGCUGAAGUAGGUCCCAAGGGUAUGGCUGUUCGCCAUUUAAAGUGGUACGCGAGCUGGGUUUAGAACGUCGUGAGACAGUUCGGUCCCUAUCUGCCGUGGGCGCUGGAGAACUGAGGGGGGCUGCUCCUAGUACGAGAGGACCGGAGUGGACGCAUCACUGGUGUUCGGGUUGUCAUGCCAAUGGCACUGCCCGGUAGCUAAAUGCGGAAGAGAUAAGUGCUGAAAGCAUCUAAGCACGAAACUUGCCCCGAGAUGAGUUCUCCCUGAGACUUAGAGUCUCCUGAAGGAACGUUGAAGACGACGACGUUGAUAGGCCGGGUGUGUAAGCGCAGCGAUGCGUUGAGCUAACCGGUACUAAUGAACCGUGAGGCUUAACCUUAC